CAGAGUUACUAUAAAACUCCCAACCCUUUGUGAACCUUACCGUCGUUGCCUCGGUGGAAGGUGGUGUGCGGUGGGAAGCUACCCUGGAGUUACCUACCCUGUAGAUAGCUACCCUGGAGCUACCCUGAAAAUACGCCCCCCGCCAGCCGCCGAAGGACUACUAAACUCUUGUUUUUACUGUGUCUCUCUGAAUAAUGAAACAAAAAUUCGUUA
rnacentral:misc_RNA from 1 species